GACGAACGCUGGCGGCGUGCUUAACACAUGCAAGUCGAACGGAAAGGCCUGCUUUCCCUUGUGGAUUGCGGGUACUCGAGUGGCGAACGGGUGAGUAACACGUGAGUGAUCUGCCCCCAACUUGGGUAUAAGCCUGGGAAACUGGGUCUAAUUCCCGAUAGGACUGCAGGGUGGUGCCUGUGGUGGAAAACGAUUUUCUAGUGGUUGGGGAUGAGCUCGCGGCCUAUCAGCUUGUUGGUGGGGUAAUGGCCUACCAAGGCGGCGACGGGUAGCCGGCCUGGGAGGGUGGAAGGCCAAAUGGGGACUGGGAAACGGCCAAGACUCCUACGGGAGGGAGAGGGGGGGAAAAUUGAAAAAUGGGGGGAAGCCUGAUGGAGCGACGGCGGGGGGGGGAUGAGGGCCUUCGGGUUGUAAACCCCUUUCGACCGGGAGGAAGCCACCGGGUUGGAAGGGGGGUGACGGGAGGGGGAGAAGAAGCAACGGCAAACUACGU
rnacentral:rRNA from 1 species